rnacentral:rRNA from 1 species
AUUGAACGCUGGCGGCAGGCCUAACACAUGCAAGUCGAACGAGUGGCGGACGGGUGAGUACUGUCUGGGAAACUGCCUGAUGGAGGGGGAUAACUACUGGAAACGGUAGCUAAUACCGCAUAACAUCAGAUGUGCCCAGAUGGGAUUAGCCAGUUGGUGGGGUAACGGCUCACCAAGGCCACGCGCCCUAGCUGGUCUGAGAGGAUGACCAGCCACACGGGAACGGAGACACGGUCCAAACUCCGACGGGAGGGAGCAGUGGGGAAUAUUGCACAAUGGGCGCAAGCCUGAUGCAGCCAUGCCGCGUGUAUGAAGAAGGCCUUCGGGUUUUAAAGUACUUUCAGCGGGGAGGCGUUACCCGCAGAAGAAGCACCGGCUAACUCCGUGCCAGCCGCCGCGGUAAUAC